rnacentral:rRNA from 1 species
GACAGAGGGUGCAAACGUUGUUCGGAAUUACUGGGCGUAAAGCGCGUGUAGGCUGCUCCGCAAGUCGGAUGUGAAAGCCCUGGGCUCAACCUAGGAAGUGCAUUCGAUACUGCAGAGCUGGAGUCCUGGAGAGGAAGGCGGAAUUCUCGGUGUAGAGGUGAAAUUCGUAGAUAUCGAGAGGAACACCGGUGGCGAAGGCGGCCUUCUGGACAGUGACUGACGCUGAGACGCGAAAGCGUGGGGAGCAAACAGG